rnacentral:lncRNA from 1 species
ACACACACACGCACGCACCCACGCACGCACAGCCCAUCCUUCCUCCAAGGCUCGCGAAUCAUCUCUCCACAAAUCCUGCCUUCGGGGCCGCAGCCUGCAGGCCGACCUCAGUCCGUCCUCACAGAGCCUAGUUGGGUGCACAGCUCUCCCUGACGCGCGAGGAGCAGGUUCACGGGAGUCGGUCGCGCAUCCCCAGCGCCCUGCGGGCCUCGCACCGGCUGUGGCGGUGACCCCGAAUUCUUCCAUCUCUAUGAGAACAAGCCCAUUUUAACUUUCUGGAGGAUAAAAUAGCAUGCUGAGGAAAGCCAAAGUGCGCCAGUUUACAGACAGCUCACUCCCAGAAGCAGAGCCACCUAAUUCACCAGCAUCUGACCACUCACACCUGAAGGAGCCAAACUGAGCCCAGAAGAAUGGCCCAGCUAAGCCCAGCCUAAAUUUCUAACCAGCUCAACCCUGAGCUAGUAUGUUUCAGGAUUGUUAUGCAGUUAUAGCUUAGUAAUAUAUACACCCAUUAAAGACAGGAUUCCAGGAUUCCAGGACAGAUUGAUUACAAAUAACCUGCAAAUGCUUGGCACCCUGUAAGUAUUGAUAUUGUGUUUCCUUUAUUUAAAGUUAAAUUUGUUGUAAGAUGGUAUUGACUUAUAUAGAAGUGAGGCAAGAGAAUAGGGUCUGGAGGCAGGGAACUUAAGGCCAAUUCGUGCUGAAUUCCUAAAGAAGAAACACCAAGGUCUGGGAGCAGGGAACCUAAGGCCAAUUAACGUGAACUUCCUACAUCUAAACCAAAAGGAAAACCUCAUCUACACCUGAGUAGCAAAGGAUCAAAGGUGACUGUUGCUACAACCCUCUCCUUUGCACCAGUUCUCUGAUAGAAAAGGAGAGUGACUUGGAGUGGCCGUGGGCCAAGCACAGGCCAUGCCUUCAUCUGCAUGGGGUACCAAUUCACCUCAGCCUUUGAUUAGCCACGGACCAAAUCUUUCAUCCAGAUAAGGGGUAGCUGAUAGGGACCUCAAAAGGAGUACUUAAAACCCAGAUAACUUUGUAACCGGGUCCUUGAGCUGCUUGCUGGGGCUCACACCCAUCCCGUGGAGUGCUUUCUUGCUUUAAUAAACCCCUGCUUUUGCUGUUUCCUUCA